UUACCCUAACUGUCUAAAUUAUAAAUAAUAAUUAAAAUAAAAUAUAAAUAAUAAUUAUAAAUUAUAAAUGAUUAUAAAAUGUCCCUAACUAUUUUGGCAUUAGUUUUUUGACAGUUUCAACAACAAUAUCUUAAAUUGCAAAGUUUAUUAGACAAAAAAAGCCUUUUGUAUUGUUUCGAUAAAACUCACCAUUUUUAAGGCCGCCCCCGAGAACUGUCAAAAUCAAACUGUCAAAUCAAAAAAAUAUGUUUUUACCCUUUUUUACUUUUAUACAUAUCUCAAAAUCGACAACAACGACAACGGGAAACCAUUGUUGCGCCUCCAAGUGGCAAAUACAUUUUGAAAGCGAUCUGUGCAGAAUGUCCAGAAUGUGUCACUCGUUUUUCUCAAAAACCUUUAGUUCCGGAGUGGCGGAGAUCCCCUAUUCAGACAUCCAACAUGCGCUACCCUGUACAGUGUACAAAAAAUCGUUGAGCUUAAAUAAUUAUAAUUACCUAAUUCCAAAAAUAAAGAAACUAUUAAUA